rnacentral:rRNA from 1 species
UUUCCGUAGGUGAACCUGCGGAAGGAUCAUUAUUAAAAAGUAAAGGAGUGCACUUUAUUGUGGCUCUGAACCUUUUAAAUAUAUUUAACCCAUUAAAACCCAAAGCUGUUAUGUGUGCCUUUUUUGGUAUAGCAUCUCAGCAGUAGUUCAACUUGUGUUGUCUUUUCACAUAAGCUCUGACAUUACCCCCCUUUAUAAGUGACCCCCUUUUUGUUAAUUUGAUGAACUCUUUAAAAAUGUUUUAAGAAUGUAAACCCCUAUAAAAAUUAAUAUAACUUUUAACAAUGGAUCUCUUGGCUCUCACAUCGAUGAAGAACACAGUGAAAUGUGGUAAGUAAUGUGAAUUGCAGAAUUCAGUGAAUCAUCGAAUCUUUGAACGCACCUUGCACCUUUUGGUAUUCCAAAAGGUACACCUGUUUGAGUGUCAUGAAACCCUCUCAUUCCAAUUCUUUAUUUUAUAUAAGGAGUUGUGUAAUGGAUGUUGAGUGUUGCUGUCAUUGGCUCACUUUAAAUAUAUAAGUAAUUUUAUUUGAAAAAAUAAAUGGAGCAAUACUUGGUGUAAUAUUUAUUAUUCAUUGAGGAGUGUGGUUUAAUUACUACAGCCAUUUGUUUCGGAUAAAUAGCUUCCUAACCCCAUUUUUCAAAUUUAGACCUCAAAUCAGGUGGGACUACCCGCUGAACUUAAGCAUAUCAAUAAGCGGAGGA